AAAUAGUUAGUUUAAUCAAAAUAUACAUUUGUCGAAUGUAAGAAACAAACAGGACGGAAGUACUAUUU
rnacentral:tRNA from 1 species